rnacentral:rRNA from 1 species
GACGAACUGUGCGAACGUUAUUCGGAAUCACUGGGCUUACAGGGUGCGUAGGCGGCUUGUUAAGUAGGGUGUGAAAUCCCCCGGCCCAACCGGGGAAUUGCGCUCUAAACUGGCAGGCUUGAGUGAGCUAGGGGUGCACGGAACUUCCAGUGGAGCGGUGAAAUGUGUUGAUAUUGGAAGGAACACCGGAGGCGAAAGCGGUGCACUGGGGCUCAACUGACGCUGAGGCACGAAAGCCAGGGGAGCGAACGGG